rnacentral:rRNA from 1 species
AAGUCCGCUAACGAGCGCAACCCUCGCUGUGUGUUUACAAGUGUCACACGGAACUGCCGGUCAUAAACCGGAGGAAGGUGGGAUGACGUCAAGUCAGCAUGGCCUUUAUAUCCUGGGCUACACACACGCUACAAUGGGAAGGGACAAUAGGUUGCGAAGCCGCGAGGCGGAGCCAAUCCAGCAAAACUUCCCUCAGUUCAGAUUGCAGGCUGCAACUCGCCUGCAUGAAGUUGGAGUUGCUAGUAAACGCAGGUCAGCCAUACUGCGUUGAAUACGUUCCCGGGGCUU